rnacentral:tRNA from 1 species
GUGGCCUAGUGGUCAUGGCAUCUGCCCGGUAAGCGGAAGGUCGUGGGUUCGAUUCACACAGACA